rnacentral:lncRNA from 1 species
CUCAAUGAGAAGUGUGCGAGCAUUCUCGAUGAUGUGCCUUGUCUUUCUCUCGACAACCCCAUUUUGUUGAGGGGUAUAUGGACAAGAGUUCUGAUAAAUAAUUCCUUGAGAAGUCAUAAGUUGCUGAAAUGAAGAGGAUAAAUAUUCUAAGGCAUUAUCACUGCGAAAAGUACAAAUAGAAACACCGAAUUGAUUUUUAAUUUCAGCACAAAAAUUCUGGAAAAUAGAAAACAACUCAAAAUGAUCAUUCAUUAAUAAAAUCCAAGUAUAUCGUGAAUGAUCAUCAAUGAAACUAACAAAAUUACGAAACCCCAAGGUUUAACGGACUCUACAAGGACCCCAUAUAUCAGAAUGAACUAAAGAAAAAACAGACUCUGCAUGACUAACCCCAAGGUUGAACUGACUCUACAAGUACCCCAUAUAUCAGAAUGAACUAAAGAAAAAACAGACUCUGUAUGACUCUCAAUAUUACGAGGAAAGGAGGUUCGGGUAUGUUUCCCGAGCUGACAUGACUCACACUCUAAUGUGGAUAAACUAGACAAACUAGGCAUCAUCUUUUGAAGCUUGGACAAGCUAGGAUGUCUUAGACGUCUGUGAAGUAGGUCUGGAUGAUCUGCAACUAGACAUGCCUUGGAGGAUUUUAGUGAGUUAAGGUAGUAAAGUCCUUCUGAUUCAAGUCUUGUUCCAAUCGUCUGUCUCGUACUGCGGUCCUGCA